rnacentral:rRNA from 1 species
AUGGAGAAUCUGCUUCAAAAAAGAGCUGAGACAUCUAUUCUAGCCAUACCAGGCAGUAAGAUCGAGCAGGUAAGCCCCCUCUGCACCUCUUCACUUCCCCCUUCUCCAUGGAUCCAUGGAGAAUCUGCUUCAAAAAAGAGAUCAUUGCAACAAAACAAAAAGGGAAAAGGGAGUGUGUGGCAGCAUCCAAAAACAAGGGAAAAAAUGUUUGAUCUCAAUGAGUUGCCUCCAGAUCUCAAUGAGCUUCCUCAUGAUAUGGAUCAGCAGCAACCCAGCAUACAACAAGGAAACUGCACAGAAAAUGGUCGAUCUGUUUACUACACGCAGGCAAGUCGUGAUGGUAACCCUACGGGCCAUGACAAUGUGGCAGGCCAGUCAUCAGCCCGUGGUGCCCCUGUAGUGGUGUCUUUGCAGUCAGAGAGCCAUACUCUUGAUGACACAGGAACCGAGGCAAAUGUUCCUGGUCCAACUAGGACUGAGCUGGAAGCUGGGGCUUUUGACAGAGCUGUGCAAGUAGAAGAAGGAGAGGAUGAGGCUGUUAUGCAUAUAUGUGAUGUCAACCCUCAAGGACCUCCUCCCCCUCCUGGCUGUACACGGCAUCCUCUGCCACCUCCUCCCCCGCAUGCUCCUCCCAAUGGCCCUACAGGCAGCACUCAGGGGGCUCGUCAUCUAGGUGAUGCCAACCCUCAAAGACCUCCUCCCCCGCCAGGCCCAACUAGCAGUGCCCUUUGUGCUACUCCCAAUGGACCUACAGGCAGGACUCAGGGGGCUCAUAACCCAGGCGACUACAAUCCAAGUACCAUGACAGGCCGUGCUACUGCAGGUGAUCGUGACGGUCCUACUGCCCCAUUGGAGGCUGCAUCCCUUGCACAAGCUUCUGAUGAUUUUGUGCCCAGGGAUCCUCCAAGGUCUACUACAAAGGGUAGGGCAAAGAGUCAACGGUACAAAUCGGCGCUGCAGCUACACCCAAAGAAGAAAAACAAAUGCAGCCAGUGCCAAUCUACAGAGCACACUGCUGGUGUGUGUCCACAGAGGCUCCUAUGA